rnacentral:rRNA from 1 species
AUUGAACGCUGGCGGCAUGCUUUACACAUGCAAGUCGAACGGCAGCGCGGGCUUCGGCCUGGCGGCGAGUGGCGAACGGGUGAGUAAUGCAUCGGAACGUGCCCAGUAGUGGGGGAUAGCCCGGCGAAAGCCGGAUUAAUACCGCAUACGACCUGAGGGUGAAAGCGGGGGACCGAAAGGCCUCGCGCUAUUGGAGCGGCCGAUGUCGGAUUAGCUAGUUGGUGGGGUAAAGGCUUACCAAGGCGACGAUCCGUAGCUGUUCUGAGAGGACGACCAGCCACACUGGGACUGAGACACGGCCCAGACUCCUACGGGAGGCAGCAGUGGGGAAUUUUGGACAAUGGGGGCAACCCUGAUCCAGCCAUGCCGCGUGCGGGAAGAAGGCCUUCGGGUUGUAAACCGCUUUUGUUCGGGAAGAAAUCCUCUGGGCUAAUACCCCGGGGGGAUGACGGUACCGGAAGAAUAAGCACCGGCUAACUACGUG